GACGAACGCUGGCGGCGUGCUUAACACAUGCAAGUCGAACGGAAAGGCCCUGCUUUUGUGGGGUGCUCGAGUGGCGAACGGGUGAGUAACACGUGAGUAACCUGCCCCUGACUUUGGGAUAACUUCAGGAAACUGGGGCUAAUACCGGAUAGGAGCUCCUGCUGCAUGGUGGGGGUUGGAAAGUUUCGGCGGUUGGGGAUGGACUCGCGGCUUAUCAGCUUGUUGGUGGGGUAGUGGCUUACCAAGGCUUUGACGGGUAGCCGGCCUGAGAGGGUGACCGGCCACAUUGGGACUGAGAUACGGCCCAGACUCCUACGGGAGGCAGCAGUGGGGAAUAUUGCACAAUGGGCGGAAGCCUGAUGCAGCAACGCCGCGUGCGGGAUGACGGCCUUCGGGUUGUAAACCGCUUUCGCCUGUGACGAAGCGUGAGUGACGGUAAUGGGUAAAGAAGCACCGGCUAACUAUGUG
rnacentral:rRNA from 1 species